rnacentral:rRNA from 1 species
AUUGAACGCUGGCGGCAUGCUUUACACAAGCAAGUCGAACGGUAACAGGUUAAGCUGACGAGUGGCGAACGGGUGAGUAAUGCAUCGGAACGUGCCCGAUCGUGGGGGAUAACGCAGCGAAAGCUGCGCUAAUACCGCAUACGAUCUGAGUAUGCAAGCGGGGGACCGUAAGGCCUCGCGCGAUCGUAGCGGCCGAUGUCGGAUUAGGUAGUUGGUGGGGUAAAGGCUCACCAAGCCAACGAUCUGGAGCUGGUCUGAGAGGACGACCAGCAACACUGGGACUGAGACACGGCCCAGACUCCUACGGGAGGCAGCAGUGGGGAAUUUUGGACAAUGGGCGAAAGCCUGAUCCAGCAAUGCCGCGUGCAGGAAGAAGGCCUUCGGGUUGUAAACUGCUUUUGUACGGAGCGAAAAGGCUCUCUCUAAUACAGGGGGCUCAUGACGGUACCGUAAGAAUAAGCACCGGCUAACUACGUGCCAGCAGCCGCCGUAA